rnacentral:lncRNA from 1 species
UUUGAUCUGAUGACCUUUCAAAUUUGCAUUAAGUGCUGACCCUAUCUGCCAACUACCCACUAACACCAAUGAACCUUCAAUGUCCAUUCAGUUUUCAAAUGAAUUUGUAUUACCCGAGGUGUCUCUCUAUCUCCCCAAUCUCUCAACUUUUUUGCUAUUCCCAUUCACUCUUAUGUUUUCAAUGCCAAACUCUUUCCUCCUCUAACUCCUUCUUCUUUCUGAGAGAGCGAUGAAGUACCUCACGUGUCGUGUCUUGCUUGCUGUUCAUUUGGUUAUGCAAACCGGAUUGUAAAUAGGUGAACUUAUAACUUUCUUAAGAAAAUCGGUGAAGUUUAUUUUGAUGAAAUUGUGAGGAUUGAAGUACGAUGGUUGGGAUGGAAUUUCUUGAAUCAAUUUUAGGUACCCCCUUCUCUCACUAUUUUUCUCUAAUUUCUAUCAAUUUGUUAGGGUUUGGAAAUCUCUACUACUACUUUAUAUUUGCAAAUCAUCUUUCUUUUCUCUCAAUUGAAUCUUCAAUUCUUCAUCUGUUAGGUCAUAAUUUAUCUUACUCGGUGGUUCUAUCAACUUUGAUUUUAUAUCCGAGCUUUCCUUGGCAAGAAAUGCCGCUAUUUGGCAAAAAAUAUCAAAAUAUAGCAAUUGGGGUAUCAAGGUAGUUGA